UCUCCGUAGGUGAACCUGCGGAGGGAUCAUUACCGAGCGAGGGCCCCCGGCCCGACCUCCAACCCUUUGUGAUUACCCCUCUGUUGCCUCGGGGGCGACCCGGCCUUCGGGCGUCGGGGCCCCCGGUGGACCACCCAACCCUGCAUCGUUGCGUCUGAGUCGAAAUAUAAAUCAAUCAAAACUUUCAACAACGGAUCUCUUGGUUCUGGCAUCGAUGAAGAACGCAGC
rnacentral:misc_RNA from 1 species